rnacentral:rRNA from 1 species
AUUAACGCUGGCGGUGUGUCUAAUACAUGCAAGUCGAGCGACCCGCAAGGGUAGCGGCGGACGGGUGAGUAACACGUUGGAAUGUACCUCGUACUCAGGGAUAAUCCCGCGAAAGCGGGACUAAUACCGGAUGGUCUCGAAAGAGUAAAGCUCCGGCGGUACGAGAGCAGCCUGCGGCCUAUCAGCUAGUUGGUAAGGUAAUGGCUUACCAAGGCUAUGACGGGUAGCUGGUCUGAGAGGAUGAUCAGCCACAAUGGGACUGCGACAAGGCCCAUACUCCUACGGGAGGCAGCAGUAAGGAAUCUUUCACAAUGGGCGCAAGCCUGAUGAAGCAACACCGCGUGACCGAUGAAGUUCUUUUGAAUGUAAAGGUCUUUUCUGGGGGAAGAAUUAUGACGGUACCCUAGGAAUCAGCACCGGCAAACUCCGU